rnacentral:lncRNA from 12 species
AUGUUUCCUGGUCCUACACCCUGUGGUCCCUUCACACAGCUGAGAACCGUUGCUGAGUAUUUGGGUGUGAGCCCUUCACACAAGGAUUUCAAGGUGAAAAGGAAUUCUAGAUCAAUGAGUAGAAAUCCCCAAAUCCUUGUUUCUGCUUUUCCACCUAAACUCAGGUGAGUUAUUUAGCUUUGAUGGAACUUAGUCUUUUAUCCAUAAUAUGAUGAGAGGCUCUAGAAAUGUAAGUCCUUUGCAGAUCUAAAAUUGUUUAACUCUGUAGUUCUGAAGUCAAAAGUUUGAAGUCUCCUGUUGAUAUUUAUAUAGUUAGAGGAAGA